rnacentral:tRNA from 1 species
GCGGGGGUACCCAAGCCUGGUCUAAGGGGCAGGGCUUAGGACCCUGUGUCGUAGGACUUCGCCGGUUCA